GCACUGGACGAGUAAAAAGCCCCCAGUAACUCUUGGACUGUCAGCUCUGGUCAAGUAGUCUGGAAAUUUCAAAGAGCCCUGGGGUCAAAAGUUAAGUUGUCUCCAAUGUGUGGUAGCCUGGGUGACACUUGGCUCCGACCUGACAGAGGAGAGAGGUCCUCCCCGCUCCGUCACUCACUGUUCUGAGGUCAGCGCAAGAGGGAACAGACGGCACUAACCUUAGAACAACAAGAAUAUUCACAGAUACGUUUGCUUCUUUUUUUAUAUGUAUAUAGUGUUUCAUAGUCAGUUUAUAUAGCACCGGUAAAGAGUAAGAGUAUUAGAUGAGGUUUGCAUAAAAAAGCUAAGAGAAGAGAUGAGCGAGAGAGAGAGAUGAAUAAGAGUGACAAGACCAGAUGCAGAAGAUACCUGACUCCAGCAGACAAAGACAAGUAGGUGGCCACACCUUGAAGUUCCAUUACUAUAGUUUGUUGCUAUCUCCUAACCAGCAUUCUUGUCUUAGUGUAUCUGUUCCUGAGUCACACACCCACGGAUAAUGAGAAGAAGAAAGAGAAAUGUCUGUGAUGUGUUGUUGAACACUCCCAGGACAUCUCUGCCAGGCCGUGUUAAGAGUUCGUCAUCACCAUGGGAACAGCUGGCCCCCUGGAUGAGAUCCUGUGCCAUUGUGUUCUCUUAUCGUGGUUGGCCCCAUAAGCUCAUUGGAAAAAAAACACAGUUUACAAAAUCUGGUCCCACUUGUUUCCCUGCCAUUCAUUAGAAAUUAAACACAGAAGUUUUUUUUCUCUCUCUCUCUUUCUCUCUGUCUUUUUGUGAACAGUCUUUUUCUCUUUUUUGUCCUUUCUUCAAGCAUGGAGAACGAGGCAUGCCUCUCUCUCUCUCUCUCUCCCUCUCUCUCCCUCUCUCUCUCUCUCUCCCCUCUCUCUCUCUCUCUCCCUCUAAGAAAGCAUGACGUGGAGAGAGCGAGCUGAGUGCCAGGUAACUGGAGAGGCUGGCCUUUUGGUCCUGAUUAUCUGAAUGCUCUCCUCUUCUACCCGAUCAGGGCCACUUCAUCCCCUCCUCCUCCUCCUCCUCCCCCACCCAC
ensembl:lncRNA